GAUGAACGCUGGCGGCGUGCCUAAUACAUGCAAGUCGAACGAGGUGCUUUUGUAGCAAUACGGAAGUAUCCUAGUGGCGAACGGGUGAGUAACGCGUUGGUGACCUGCCCCAAAGUGCGGGAUAACAGUCCGAAAGGAUUGCUAAUACCGCAUGUGGUCUCCGGGUUUAGAAACCGGUGACUAAAGCAGUAAUGCGCUUUGGGAGGGGCCUGCGUCCCAUCAGCUAGUUGGUGAGGUAACGGCUCACCAAGGCGACGACGGGUAGGGGACCUGAGAGGGUGGCCCCCCACAAUGGAACUGAAACACGGUCCAUACACCUACGGGUGGCAGCAGUAGGGAAUAUUGCACAAUGGGCGAAAGCCUGAUGCAGCAACGCCGCGUGUGCGAUGAAGGCCUUCGGGUCGUAAAGCACUUUUCUGAGAGAUGAGAAAGGACAGUAUCUCAGGAAUAAGUCUCGGCUAACUACGUGCCAGCAGCCGCGGUAACACGUAGGAGGCGAGCGUUAUCCGGAUUCACUGGGCGUAAAGCGCGUGCAGGCGGCUUGGUAAGUUGGGUGUGAAAUCUCCCGGCUCAACUGGGAGAAGUCGUCCAAUACUACCAGGCUAGAGAGCAGUAGAGGAAGAUGGAAUUCCCGGUGUAGUGGUGAAAUGCGUAGAUAUCGGGAGGAACACCAGUGGCGAAGGCGAUCUUCUGGACUAUUUCUGACGCUCAGACGCGACAGCUAGGGUAGCAAACGGGAUUAGAGACCCCGGUAGUCCUAGCCGUAAACGAUGUGAACUUGGCGUCGGUGGGUUAAACUCCAUCGGUGCCGCAGCCAACGCGAUAAGUUCACCGCCUGGGGACUACGGCCGCAAGGUUA
rnacentral:rRNA from 1 species